rnacentral:rRNA from 1 species
UACCAGCACCCCGAGUGGUCGGGACGAUUAUUGGGCCUAAAGCAUCCGUAGCCGGUUCUACAAGUCUUCCGUUAAAUCCACCUGCUUAACAGAUGGGCUGCGGAGGAUACUAUAGAGCUAGGAGGCGGGAGAGGCAAGCGGUACUUAGUGGGUAGGGGUAAAAUCCGUUGAUCCAUUGAAGACCACCAGUGGCGAAGGCGGCUUGCCAGAACGCACUCGACGGUGAGGGA